GAGCAUGACGCUGAUUAAAGGAACUUUCACAUACUCCAGUGGUGAGGAGUAUCACGGGGAGUGGAAAGAGGGUCGCCGGCACGGGAUCGGGCAGCUGAGGUUUGCAGAUGGCAGCAGCUACGUGGGCCAGUUUGAAAAUGGCCUGUUCAGUGGCCGUGGAACACUGGUCUUCUCUGACGGCUCAAGGUAUGAGGGUGAGUUCGUACAGGGGAAGUUCCAAGGAGUUGGUGUCUUCACCCGAUGUGAUGGGAUGAAGUUUGAAGGAGAAUUUAAAAAUGGACGUGUUGAAGGAUAUGGACUGUUGAUGUUUCCUGAUGGUUCGCACGGACACCCAAGAAAUGAGGGCAUCUUUGAGAACAACAGGCUGUCUAAACGGGAGAAGUGUCAAGCUGUGAUCCAGAGAGCACAAGCAAGCGCGAAAAGUGCACGGGCUCUCUCCCUCUAACCAUUUAUCUGUGCUUAAAAUCAAUUAACGGUUUAUCCUGUCUGCGUGGGAGAAUGCAGAAAUACUGUGUUUGCAUUCACAACCGUUGAAUUCCAAAUUGUGAUGAUGCUGUGGUCUCGCUUUCGUUUCUAUCCCAGCCUGGAUAACAGUAUUCUGGGCAGCCCAGCACAUUUGGGAAUGGAUUCCAUUUGCUGGCUUCCCAAUCUGGAGCUCUGGUUCUUGAAGUCUGGAUAUCGCUGUCAGGCGGAAGACUUGAGCUACUGGCCACUACUAUCUUUCCCACCCCCAAAAUGCAGAUUGCAAAGUGUGUUACCUGCAGUCUGGGCCAGGGGCAGGAGUGUGAUGGGUCAAGGGAACAGGGGGUUUGGGAAUUGACUAAAGGAAGAUUUCCCUUAAGAUGUCCCCGAGUACUUCAUAUCUCUGACUUGAUGGUGACCCACCACAGCUCCAGCAGAAAGGAUCAUAAUCCAACACCUGGAAGUCUCUGACAGCUUGGUUUUGUCAACUAACAUACCUUCUGUGACACUGCAGCUCCAGGGGUGCUUCUGACCACUCCUCCCCUUCCACCGAACAAACAUUGAGUCUUCAACUGAUCAGUGAGUUUUCUAUCAUUGGACUUGUUCAAAAUUGAGAAACAUUAGGGAAAAAAAAAAUUCCCCUGGCAGUACAGACUUGAUGGACUAAAGGGCCUCAUCUCUACUGUAUGUUUCAAUAAUUCAAUGAGGGUGACUAACCAGAGAACAAUUAGCAAAAGAGCCGGAAGAAGACGUGGUAUUUAUUCUCUCAGCAAACUGCUGAGAUCUGGAAUUCUCUACUAGUAUUAACUUUCUGGGAAUUGUGCAUAUAUACUCGAAGGAAAAGGAUUUGUGAGGCUUUGCAGAAAUGAGGGUGAAGUGCAGUGAUUGGAUAGCUCUUUCAGAAAGACAGUGCAGGCACAAAUGGCUGAAAGAGUCACUGAUUAUGUCACGAUUGCCUGAUGGAGAUCAGCUUAUCCCAUUAAUCAAGGGCAACAACCCAUACCGUCUUCACAAUACAACAUCUUAUGUCCCAGUGUUUGGUUAUGCGUGGGCUGUGUCGGUAUGAAUCAUAGAGCCUUUCUUGUGACAGCAGGCAAAGUUUAAACUCUUCCCAUCUCUGGUCAUAUUUGAAGUUGCUGCUGCUUGCAUCUCUCUGGCAUUCCGAGUUUGGAUUAUCCAACAGGCAUCAUUAAGAGCAGGCCUUUCCAAAUAUCCAUCAGAUGUGAGAAAGCUGUCAAAAAUAUAGAAUGGAAACUCCAGGCUCGAUGGGAAGCCUGCAUUCUGAGUCAAGCAGGCUAUAAUGACAUGAAAAUUUAAAAGAACUGAAUUUAGCGAAGUGAUUGGAACAAAAACAGAAGUUGCUGGAAACGCUCAGCAGAUCUGGCAGCAUCAAUGAAGAAGAAAAUCAGAGUUAACGCUUCAGGUCUGGUGACCCUUCCUCAGAAGUGAUUGUCAGCUCUUUAAUUUUAAGUAAUGUUGAUUUGCUGGCUGCUGUGCUUUUGUGCCUUUUUUUGCACACGAUACAGGGAAGCGUAAAAUGGACAAGUGUGUGAAAAGAUUAGCUAGAUUUCACUCCGAAACACACUUUAAGAAACUAUAUAAUUUGUAAUGUAAUGAAUAAUUUGAGACAUGGCAUGUGGUGAGUGUACCAUUACAUGGAACGGGGUGGGCGUUUGUUGGGGAUGAGAUUACUAUGGAUCCAAAGCUAUAUGCCACGAGGGGCUUUCCUCACCAUAUGUCUUGGUCUGCAGCACACCCAAUGAUGCAGACUAAUUCCUAUGAUUUAUCAAUAGCUCAUUGUAUCAAAUUGGUAGGAGGUGAACUAGAUGGAAUUUGGUCUUGUUUGCAUAUUCCUGUGAAGAUCAAACGUGUGACCCCUUUAUCAUUGUGAUGGAAAACUUGAGCUAGUAAAAUGGUCACACAACUAUAUGUCAGAUGGUACUUCAAGCUUUGCCAUCUUGGUGACGCUCCAAACCUUUCCCAUCUGUUUGUUGGCAAAAAUUGUUGCAUGGCUAUUAUUUCUUUCUGUUGGAAGAUCCCAGGUUUGCUCAGAGCUCUGAGUUGUGUGUUCUAGUUGGCCUCUUUGGCACUUGAGAUCAUGUAUAACUUUAUAUAUUACCCCAUCCACAACUCCCUCCAUUAGGUUGACCUCAUUUUUCUUUUUUCCCCUUGCUUUUGCUUGUGCUGUCUCUCUCCUUUAUAUUAAUGUACAGGUACUUUGUAUGAAGCAGAAAAUACAAGUGCUUUGUGACGUUGCCCCCUCACCCUACCAGCUAAUUUGGGUCCACCCUAUCCCCUCAGUUUCAUAAUCAAGAUUUGGCCAAUGCCAUCUCAGGAGUUGAAGACUCGCUAAUAAGAUCAUCCAUAUGCUGCUGUGACAAUUUGUAUUGAAUGAAGUAUUAUGCUAAUGUAUUACUAUACUUUUUGUUACUUUUCUAAAAGGGCUGGACUCUUAAGCUUUUUUUUCAAAUGGUCACAGUUCCUGUUUUAGCCCAGGUGUCCCAGUCUAAUGUGAAACAGGCAGGAAGUCUUAUUAACUUUAAUUGUCAAGAGUUCAAAUUAAUUGCAAUGUAAUUCAAAGUGAAACAUGGUGCUUUCUCAUUACUUGAUUACUUACUUUCAUGCCUUCAGUAUCCAUGAGGAAUUGAUGGAUUUUCUUGCACAUAUUUAACUGAUGGACUAAAAUCUAUCAUGGAAAUGUAUUAAUAUUCUUACAUAUGCUGCCUUUUCUCUCCCCCAGUCUUAUUUUUCAAGUGCAAUUAAAUGUGAUUACAAAUUGGCUUGUCCAAAUAAUGCAAUAAAUGUGGUAUCUAUAA